CCUCUGUUUAUUUUUAUAUGACGUUUUAGAUUUUCUUUGUUGUUUAUAAAUAUAUGACGUUCUCAGUUUUCAAGAACUGAUGUAUAUGGUCUUCCCACGACUGCCCUUAUUUACUUCUUAUUUUUGUCUAUUCUCAAUAAAUCUAGAAAAUUGAAAAGACUCGGUGAUUAUAAUUCUCUCAUUAAUACUAGCCCGUAGUCUUUAUACAGGAGUCCAAUAUGAUCCAUUCUGUACUGAGCAAUAUAUACAUACAUUUACAUACAUCUUUACUUACAAAAACUUCAUGAGUGUAAGCAGGAGUAACCCUAAUGAAGAAGAGAACGUGUGUCCUAUAAAACUAGAGACAAAGUCUACAGGAGGAUGAUGAUGAUCAACAACGGAAGUUUAUGGAUACUUCGAAGGAUACUCAAGAAGAAUAUAAACCUGUGGAUCUGAACAUGCACCCAUUUGAUCUCAACAAAAUACCAAAAAAAGAAAGCAUGUAUGAGAUUGUGCAUGAAAUGUCAGAAAUAUUUUUUCCUUCUGUAUUUAGAUUAUAAAUUUUAAUUUUAGUUUUUAAAUAAUGUUAAUUGUGUUCCUUUUGUUUAA